CGCGCAGGCGGCUAUUUUUGUCAGGCGUGAAAGCCCCGGGCUUAACCUGGGAACUGCGCUUGAGACGGGAUGGCUAGAGAUCGGGAGAGGAGAGUGGAAUUCCCAGUGUAGAGGUGAAAUUCGUAGAUAUUGGGAAGAACACCGGUGGCGAAGGCGGCUCUCUGGACCGAUACUGACGCUGAGGCGCGAAAGCGUGGGGAGCAAACAGGAUUAGAUACCCUGGUAGUCCACGCUGUAAACGAUGUGUGCUAGACGUUGGGGAGCCUAGCUCUUCGGUGUCGCAGCUAACGCUUUAAGCACACCGCCUGGGGAGUACGGCCGCAAGGUUAAA
rnacentral:rRNA from 1 species